AUAAAUUUCAAGUGUGGAAGAAGCUAACUGCUGAAUUUAAGAGGAUUACAACCAUCAGUUUGCUGUCAAAGUUCUUCUCCCAGCUGGAUGCUCAUUCUUCAAACUUGAUGAGGGUGUUUGGCAAGAAAGGCGGCGUUCAAGGAAGAAAGAUAAGGAGCAUCAUGAUACCCAUCACCAAGACUGACGCCAUUGAUGUCAAAAGAGAGUGAAUCAUCAAAGCCCUGUGUGUGUACCUGAAUGAAGAGCCCGAGAACCUUGUGAAAGAAUACAUGAACACAGAUUGUGGGAGCAGUGAAGCUGCAGUGAUGGAGACGACAUUUGGAAUAUUUGUCAUUCGCAAGGAAGGUGCAGAGCCAGGUGAUGGACCGGAAGAUGUAGGUAUAGUUCUGGG